rnacentral:tRNA from 1 species
GGCUCUGUGGCGCAACGGAUAGCGCAUUGGACUUCUAGACAGUGACGGUGUGAAGUCAUUCAAAGGUUGUGGGUUCGAGUCCCACCAGAGUCG